AGAUCUCCAUAGCACAUCUGGGGCACGAAUGGCUGGGACCCCUACCACUUGUGUGACCAGUUUGCCCCGGCUCUGUGCCCAUACUAACAACUUCUUAGCAUUUUGUAUGUCACCGGUGCCAGGGGAGCGGCUAGUCCACAGGAGUGACCUCAGGGGGACACCCCCGAGGCACAGUCAUCCCUGCUAACCAGGAAGGCUCGUUAGCUCGCGUUCAGUUGUCUCUAUCUCUCCUGGGCAGCCACCCCCCCCCUUCCUUGCUUUCCGUGCUGCCAGCACCCACACGCUCCCCCUGACCACUGCGGCGCAGCCCCUGAAAGGCUCCGUGCCUCUGAGGAGCCCCAUGACAGCUGCUCACCCUGCUGGCAGUGGGGGCGGAGGUCUCUGGCCCCAGCGAGCCCCCACCUGGGGCACUGGUGGGGCUGAACUCUCCUGCUCCCCACUCCCAGGGCUUGGUGCUCCAGCACGAUGGCAUGGUGGGCACUGGCCGCCUGUCCCCAUGCGGAAGCUCUGAGCUCUCAGGUUUGAGUUUCGUUUCUGGAGAAACGAAAGUGGAAGCAAGAGUCCUGCCCCUCCCUUGCACAGCUCUUCCCUGUCCCACUCCAGCAGUGCAGUACAUUUAGAAAAGCCACUGCGCCAGCAGCAGGGUGAGAAGCACCAGGUUCAAGCAAACGCUGGUGGGAUUGCUCAGGCUGGGACUGGGUAGGAGUGCUUGCACCAAGAGCUGGUGGCAGUGCAGGGAACUGGGCAUCUUCGUUAAGACAGCGUACCCGGCACUGAGUUCUGUGGCUCAAGAGCUUGACAGCAGCACAGACUCCAAGGAUUCUUUGCUUCUGCCAGAGCCCUGCGGACCAGCACACAACCGCUGCAGUACCAGGCUACGUGUCCCCGAUGGACUUCCUGCACCAAAACCAGGGCCCUGGCCGUGCUCCAGCGCAGGACGCUCGGAGCAGGAUGUUGGCGGAGCGAGAGGAGCGUCGUAAAAGCCAAUUACAGAUGAGUGGGAAUCUCUUCAUCAAGCAGUUCUUGGUUUUGCUGCAUCAGACGCAGCCGGCUGAAGACAUCAAAAAGCAAUACAUAGAAAAGGUGCUGCACACAGUGUUCUUCUUCGGAAGGGUGCACAAGAGGGUGGUGGAACCCACUGACUUCCUAGGGCCCGCGGUUUGCCAGACUCUGCAGGCGAAGUUCCCCAGACCGUUCCAACAGUACGGCACCCACCUCCCCGGCCUGACGCCCUACUCCAUCCUGCUGCAGUUUGGCUCUGAAGUAGCAGGCUGCAGCACCCAAGAGCAAAUGGAGUCUUUCUUGCGUGACUUUAACAAAACUCUGCAAGAAAAAUUGGAGCGAGAAGCCAACAUGAAGCCCAGUGAGUUCGUCUUCAGAGCUGCAAUUGUUGCCUUCAGCAUCUACAGAGACCCCGAGGAUGGAGCAGCCCCUCCUCUCUUUUAUGGAGCGUCCCUGUCCUGCAGCGGGCUGCUGGAGAAGAAGAUCAUGAUUGACGUCCUGUGCAUAAAGACGUGGCACAAGGCGGUGGCGUUCGCAGUGCACCACGCGGAGGACGAUCUGGCCAUCGUCUUCCCUGAUGGGGUAGAGUGCCGGGCCUUCUACUACAGUCACGGAGCCUUCGCGGAAAAGCAGCCCUGCAUGAAAUGCAGGGAGAUGUUCCACGUCGACUUCCAGCCACCCGCAGACAGCACCAAGGAAGAUUGCCCGUGGCCAUACGGUAACUGUGCCGAGAACGAGACCCUGAGCAAGCUGCUGCAGGGCAUCCCGGGGCUGCAGGAGAAGGUUGUCUCGACACACACUCCCCCCCAGCCAAACACCUACCAGGCCAUUGAACAAGAAUUUACAGGCAUCAUAGAAAACAGGUUUAGAAAUCACCUUGACCAGUUGCUUCACGAAAAUCAUUUUUCUUCUUACCUUCCUCUGCAAUUCUUUUGAACCCAGGUGAGUGCUGGAGAGGUAGCCACAGGCCGGUGCUUGCUGCAGCUCACGAGAUACCCCUGACUGCAGCACCCUUGCAGCUCCGCCUGCCCCCACCCAUGAACUCCCGCAGACCCCCACCUUUGCACAGGCUUCCCCAGGCCACCUCGCUGCGCUCUGUCUGGUGCAAGGCACGCGGGGCCACAGCGGUCAGGAGCGCUGCAGGCCUGCAGCCCCAGCCCAGGCUCCCAGCCCCACUGACCCAAGCACUACAACUGCUCUUGCAGACGGUACCAGCACAGCCCCAGCAGGAGGGCAGGAAAGCCUUCUCACCCUGCCUUUAUGUUGCUUCCAAAACCAGGCUACAUGCUCACAGCAGCAGAGUCUGGACAGGGCACAGAAGAGGCAAAAGCGCAGCCUCUGAAUGGCACGAGGCAGCCCAGCUCCAUGUCUGCAAACUGCGCAGCGAUGGGGUAUCCGUUUGUUCCUUGCUAGGCUCAGCAGCACAGGGCUCUGCUUUUAAUCUGUGUAAAUAAAGAUGCGUAUGUGAUUUUCA
rnacentral:lncRNA from 1 species